rnacentral:rRNA from 1 species
UACAGAGGGUGCAAGCGUUGUUCGGAAUUAUUGGGCGUAAAGCGUCCGUAGGUGGCUAGUCAAGUCUGCGGUCAAAGACUGGGGCUUAACCCUGGAAAGGCCGUGGAAACUGACGAGCUAGAGUGCAGUAGGGGUAGAGGGAAUUCCCGGUGUAGCGGUGAAAUGCGUAGAGCUCGGGAAGAACAUCGGUGGCGAAAGCGCUCUACUGGACUGCAACUGACACUCAGGGACGAAAGCUAGGGGAGCGAAUGGG